UCUAUCUUUUUUUUUUUUUUUUGGGUUUAAUUACUCCGUAUUAUUUUUGCUCUAAACUUUUUCCCAUUCAAUUUAGGCAGAAAAUAUAUAGUAGUAUAAUAUAAUUAAUUAAUAAUAUUAGUACGUGUAUGUAUAUAGAGGCAUUGGAAGAAUCAAAGAAUGUUUCUGAUCUCUGGAGCAGAGGAAGAAGAAGAACGGAUUCCCCUCACAUGCUCCACCAUCUGUUUUUUGCGUUAUUUUACGAUAUUCAUAAUAACGGCCUUUGAAAGUCGCGGCGAUUGCUUUGCAGCGCGGCCUCCUCCUCCUCCGGGAUCGCGUCUUCUCCAGGUUUCAUUAACAGAAUUCGCUCCAGUAGCAUGUUAUUUGUCCCCAAGAAUUUAUUGAGAAGGGAAAAGCUAAUCAUAGAUUGGCUUCACAAUGGUUGAACUUUGCAUUUCAUUUUUAAGGAUACUGACCAGCUCCACUUCUUAUAGUACUUGUCUAUUUGGAUGGCUGGUUACAGUAGCAUGUGGACUUUAUGCUGUUGUAUAUGGAUUCCUUAAAUGGAAGCGGAAGGCAUCUCUCAAUUGGGUUAAAGCUGCUGCUAGAGCAAAGAAGCAAGCCUGGAAAAAGUUGAAGGUUCCCUUGUCAGAACAUACAUGGGUUGAAGAUUUUGCUAAUAAUGGUAGACAGCCAUCCACAUGUAGUGUUUGCCUUACUUCCCUUGUGCCCCCAAAAAAUUUAGGCACAAAAGCCUCAUCAUGUACAUUAGUACAUCGCUGCUCUGUUUGUGGUAUUGCAACACAUUUUAACUGUUCUAAGUUUGCAUCAAAGGAUUGCAAAUGUGUAGCACAAGCUGGGUUUAGCCAUGUGCAACACCAUUGGUCAGAAAGGUGGAUUAAGUUGGAUGUGAGCCCUGAGAUGUCUGCCUUCUGUUUUUAUUGUGAUGAACCUUGUGGUAUUCCAUUCCUUGAUGUAUCUCCUACUUGGCAUUGCUUAUGGUGUCAACAGCUUAUACAUGUUAAAUGUCAUGCUAAAAUGUCUGAAGAGUCUGGUGAUGUUUGUAAUAUGGGUCCUCUCAGGAGGCUAAUUCUUUCUCCACUCCAUGUCAAAGACAUCGAAACUGAAACAAAUGAUUGUGGGGCAUUGAGGCAAAUGUCAGACAAAAUGGUUUCCUCUUCUGUUCAUGGCCAAAUGAGAAGAAAACGCCAUCGGAACAAACAUGGUAGUAACCAUAUGCUCAAUGGUACACAACAAGACCCUUCAUCUCCUAAAAGAGCACUUGAAUUCUUGCUUAGUGGUCUUGCUCUUCUGAAGAAUUCCAGCGGUGAGAAAAAAGACAGCCCUCUCAUUAGUAAUAAUGAACUUUCUGAUAAGAAUGGUAUUCAAAAUGGAUUGAUCAGAAAGAAGUGUGAAAAUAUUUUCCCUGGCCAAUCAAAGAAGUAUGCUCUUGUAGACUUACCUCAGGAUGCAAGACCUCUUUUAGUCUUCAUUAACAAGAAAAGUGGAGCUCAAAAUGGUCCUUCCCUUAGGAGAAGGUUGAAUAUGUUAUUGAAUCCUUUGCAGAUUUUUGAACUCAGCUCCACCCAGGGUCCUGAAGCUGGUUUAGAUAUGUUCAGUAAUUUGCAGUAUUUUCGGGUUUUGGUUUGUGGUGGGGAUGGAACUGUUGCCUGGGUCCUUGAUGCAAUUGAGAGGUAUAAGUUUGAGUCACCUCCACCAGUUGCAGUCCUCCCUUUAGGGACUGGAAAUGAUUUGUCUAGGGUACUCCAAUGGGGAGGUGGUUUCUCAAUGGUUGAAGGGCAAGGUGGAGUUGGUGCAUAUCUGCAUGAUUUGAACAAUGCAGCAGUUACAAUGCUAGAUCGCUGGAGAGUUGAUAUAACACAUGAGAAAUCAGCUCUUGAUACCAAACAAGUUAAGCCAAAGUUCAUGAUGAACUACUUGGGUAUUGGUUGUGAUGCAAAGGUUGCUUAUAAAUUUCACUUGAACAGGGAAGAAAACCCUAUGAAAUUUUGCAGCCGGUUUGUGAAUAAAUUACGAUAUGCAAAAGAAGGUGCCAAGGAUAUAGUGGACAGAACCUGUGCAGAUUUGCCAUGGCAAGUAUGGCUUGAAGUAGAUGGGAAGGACAUACAUAUUCCAAAGGAUGCCGAGGGCUUGAUUGUACUCAAUAUUGGUAGCUAUAUGGGUGGAGUUGAUCUCUGGCAAAAUGAUUUAGAGCAUGAUGAUGACUUUGAGCAUCAAUCUAUGCAUGAUAAAAUGCUUGAAGUUGUUUGUGUUUCUGGAGCAUGGCACCUUGGCAAACUUCAAGUUUGUAGUUUCCUCCGUGCUUCCUCUUUAACUUGUUGGGCUUUCCCAAGCAAGGAGACUGGCCCAAGGUGGAACAAUAAGGAUACACAUCUCCAGUCCUUUCCCAGUACAAAUUGAUGGGGAACCAUUUAUACAGCAACCAGGAUGCUUAGAGAUCACACACCACAAACAGGUGUUUAUGUUGAGGAGGACAUCAGGGUUGGAUGGGCGAAGAGGACAUGCAGCAGCUAUCAUGACAGAGGUUUUGGUGGAUGCCGAAUGUAAAGGUGUGAUCAGUGCAACUCAAAAGAACAUGCUUCUUCAGCAGAUAGCUCUUCAACUUUCUUGAUUCAUAAUUGCAGCCAUUGAUCCUAUAUCUGCAAAAUUGGAUUAGAACAUUUUUCCCUCUACCAAUGAAUUUUGACAUAGGAUUUGUAUACUAGGAGCUAAUACAUUACAAAGGCACUGCUGCCUAGAGAUGUUAGAUUUCCCGGAGAGACUUGAUAUUAAAAAGGUCCAGGUCUUAUACAUGUUUUAUUACACUUGUAUAUGCUACAGUACGAAUCUCGUUGCUAGGGAACGCAAAUGGAAAAAAAAAAAUACGAGCUUUUUUAUUAGAAAGUUGACAGAUAAAACUAGUUGGAUAUUGACCAACAUUUGGCA